AUUGUUUGUUGCUCAACAGAACUGCUCAGUCAGGGUAAAUUAUGCCGAGUACGUGCAUAUGUCCUUGUAAGUUAGUCUACGUCCUCUCUGUACUAGACAGGACCCAUUCUCCCGCUACUAACACUGUGUAUGCGUGUUUAUCAUACCGUAAAGAAGGCAUAUCGAAUCAUCUUUUUGCAUUGUUGCAUUGAGUAUUCGCAUUACAGGGAUUAGUGUAAAAGAAAAUGUUCAAGCCCUGCAAAAUGGUUUCACAGGUCGUCUGAACGUUACAUAAUUAUCUGACUGCAGAAAACGAAUUGAAAAUGUUUAUGUAAAAGCCAUCAAGCACCUAAUGUUCUAACAGUUUUAAUAAGAUCAAGAGCUUAUUGUAGUGGAUUAUACUAAUUACCAUAUUCCAAUAGAACCGGGUAGAUUGCGUUGGUCUACCAAUCAGUGCCCUACCUUGUCUGCCAGAUGUUAUCCUGUCGAUGUCACUCGGGGUUAAAAUCUUGGUCUCAGAAACAGAGACAAAUGACACAGAAACCAUUGAUGUGUUUUGUUUGUCAGAUUGUUUCCUGGGUAAUACGAGAACAAAGGACGGCGAAGUGUAUGAAAUUUGGCGAUAACGAACAGUGUUUCAAAUCAAAAGUCCAAAGUAAAAAUACAAAACAGGAGCAGAGCGAACACGGACCACUACAAAUAUUAGCGGUAGGAUCAAGUGCCAUGAAGGAGUAAGCACCCUCUGCUGACCGGUCACACCCGCCGUGUGCUCUUUGUUGUAGUCGGGAUAACGGGAAAAUCCGUAGACAAAUCGGUAAUUAUCAACGGCCUAACAAUAAGUAUGACAAAUGUCAGUCAGCAUACGACCUAGCGGAAGAUUGAAUUUUCUGACAAGUUCGUUGUCUCAUCCAUAGGAUGUCUUCAGUCGAGACUGUUGAUAAUCUUGUUUUAUUUACUUGUCAGUGUACCGCCUGUUUUAGAAAUUGUUCAUUCUUAGAGCAUGCCCUAGCGUAACGAAUCAACAAAGAGACAAAAACUCAAUAUGCAGGUGAUAAAGGAUAUUGCUACAUAAGUAAGGAAGGUUUACAAUAGAAAAAUUCAUAGAUUAUUAUCAUAAAGUUUUGUUGUUAGGUUACCAUUAAUGUCUUUUUCUAGUAAAAUAUGAAACAGAU
rnacentral:sRNA from 1 species